rnacentral:rRNA from 1 species
GAAAAGAAACCAACAGGGAUUACCUCAGUAACGGCGAGUGAAGCGGUAACAGCUCAAAUUUGAAAUCUGGCCGCAAGGUCCGAGUUGUAAUUUGUAGAGGAUGUUUCGAGCAUGGUCUGGCCUAAGUUCCUUGGAACAGGACGUCAUAGAGGGUGAGAAUCCCGUAUGCGGUCAGGUGCCUACGCUCAUGUGAAACUCCUUCGACGAGUCGAGUUGUUUGGGAAUGCAGCUCAAAAUGGGUGGUAAAUUUCAUCUAAAGCUAAAUAUUGGCCAGAGACCGAUAGCGCACAAGUAGAGUGAUCGAAAGAUGAAAAGCACUUUGGAAAGAGAGUUAAACAGUACGUGAAAUUGUUGAAAGGGAAGCGCUUGCAACCAGACUUGCGCGCGGCUGAUCAUCCGGGCUUCUGCCCGGUGCACUCGGUCGCGCUCAGGCCAGCAUCGGUUUUGGUGGCGGGAUAAAGGCCUUGGGAAUGUAGCUCCUCUCGGGGAGUGUUAUAGCCCAGGGUGCAAUGCCGCCUACCGGGACCGGAGGACCGCGCUUCGGCUAGGAUGCUGGCGUAAUGGUUGUAAGCGACCCGUCUGA